UGGGGAGAGCAUGAAUCAGAAGAGGGACAAGACAUAGCUGAUAUGAUCCACACCCAACCUGUGGUUGCAGCGCUUCGAGUCCGAGUGACAUCUUACCAUGCCAUGCAUCUAUCCACCAAAUUCUCCAGCAGCAUACUAAUCAAUCCUCCAAUUCAGCAAGCCAAUGACCUGCGUAACUGGUGCAGUCACAAUCAAGAGGAAAUCACGCGUUUCAUUGCUGAGCGGACUUAUGGUGAUCGUCUCAAACUCCUACCUGUACCAGA